GAUCAUGGCUCAGAACGAACGCUGGCGGCAUGCCUAAUACAUGCAAGUCGAACGGAGAUAGCAAUAUCUUAGUGGCGAACGGGUGCGUAACACGUGAGCAACCUGCCUUAUACAUCGGAAUAACAGCUGGAAACGGCUGCUAAUACCGGAUAAGACCACACCAAGGCAUCUUGGAGAGGUCAAAGCGAAUUAGCGGUAUAAGAUGGGCUCGCGUCCAAUUAGCUAGUUGGUGGGGUAACGGCCCACCAAGGCAACGAUUGGUAGCCGACUUGAGAGAGUGAUCGGCCACACUGGAACUGAGACACGGUCCAGACUCCUACGGGAGGCAGCAGUAGGGAAUAUUGGGCAAUGGAGGAAAAACCUCUUACCCAGCAAUGCCGCGUGAAUGAUGAAGGUCUUAUGGAUUGUAAAGUUCUUUAAUUGGGGACGAAAGAAAUGACGGUACCCAAAGAAUAAGCCCCGGCUAACUAUGUGCCAGCCGCGGC
rnacentral:rRNA from 1 species